UACGUAGGGUGCGAGCGUUCAAUCGGAAUUACUGGGCGUAAAGGCGUGCGCAGGCGGUGAGCUGUGUCCGAUGUGAAAAGCCCGGGCUUAACCUGGGAAUGGCAUUGGAAACUGGCUCGCUGGAAUGUGGCAGAGGGGGGUGGAAUUCCGCGUGUAGCAGUGAAAUGCGUAGAGAUGCGGAGGAACACCGAUGGCGAAGGCAGCCCCCUGGGCUAACACUGACGCUCAGGCACGAAAGCGUGGGGAGCAAACAGG
rnacentral:rRNA from 1 species